rnacentral:lncRNA from 1 species
UAGAAUUUUGAUAGUUUUGGUCAUAUUCUUUUUUAUGCAUUUCAUUUAUUUAUUGCAUUAAGCAUAUUGCGCAUGCAAGGAUUGUUGUCAUUUGCUUGAACAUUAUAUUAUAGAUCUGAAAUGAAAGUUUAAAAAUGUUUACAAGUUGCUAAGCAUUACUCCUCUCUUAAUGUUUUCAUUGCUGUUAAAUAUUUAAAAUAUAUUAAUUAUUUUUUGUUAGUUUCAAAGUUAGUGGCAUAUUUGAUGUUAUUGCCAUUCUACUUUAUUAAAAUACAAGUAUUUUAAUUUUAAAAUUAAUCAGUAUUGUUGGUAUUAUAAUUGUAUUUUGGGAAAUUCAUCAUAUGAUUUAGAAGCAUAAGAUGACUGCCUGAAAUACUUCUGUUAGUAGUAGUGACUCAGUCAUUGCUUUAUUAUAAAUAAAAACAUCAUAUGCAACUGUGAUUUUCAAAAUAACAAUUUCAUUUUUAUGGAAUAUCAAUAAAACAAAAUUAAUUUCUGGUAAUCCCAAAGAAAUUGUUGACUUUGAAUGAAAUAAGGCAAGUUUUUACUGACUUCUCUUUCCAAUAAAACUAGCGACAAUUAAAAACUAAAUAUGUUAUAAAAUAUUACUUAACUUUCAUCUGUUGUAUUACCAGUAAUGCUACUUAGGUGUGUAGUACAUGCUUGGAGAGAAUCAACUUUAAAUGCUGCUGUAUUGUUGCAAUUUAUAAAAAAAAACUUAAUACAAAUCUCUAGCAUCUGCCACCCAUAAAAUUUUCUCGGAAUAUCUGUAUUUUAUCAUGUGUAUUAACAUUGCAAUUUUAACAUUGACACAUAUUGCUAUGUUUCUUCUUUCAGCUCAUAAAAUAUUGAACACAAGUGUUGAUGGGAAUAGUCAUUUUAGGAGACGCCUUUCAAACACUCAAAUUGCCACAGUUGUUAUUGUAAAUAAUUGUUGAUUGUUUUCAGAGGUUUAUUCUAUUCUUCAACACUUGUGACAAAAGCUGCCACAUGGAUUUUAAUGAGUGCUUAGCACUUGAUUUUGGUAGUGUGAUAAGAUACGCUCAAGAGAUAAUGCUGUGUAGCUGCUAUGUGGCACGCUUGCAAUUCAUACCAUUUGACUGUAAAUCAAGAAAUGUGCUGUUUUCCAGUUUUUAUUAUUAUUUAUAUAUUUUUUUUUUUUUUAAUUUUGUCCCAUUCAUAUAAGUUUUGAAUGUGUUUUUAACUUUGUCUGUACUAUCUGUACAAAAAGAUGAUGUACAAAUGCUCAAUGCAGUAUACCAAUAUAAUUUCUCAAUGUGUAGAAUCAUCACUUGAGAUAAUCAGUUUAAAGAUAUUUAAUGUAAUCAGUAAUAUUGUUAAUACUCUAGAAAAAUUAAUGCUCUGUAGUAAACAAAUAGAUAUUUCUUUUAAAAAGUUUUAAUGUUUGAAACCAAAUGCUGCUAAAAGAUUCUUUAUUGACAGUUUUUGGUGACUAUAAUAGAUAGAACAUUUUAAAUGUUCUUUGACUUACUAUGCUGUUAGUUAACAGAGAAUAGUGAUUUCUCUCAUAUUGUAAAAAUUUCAUUGUGUUGAAAUUUUAAACUGUAAAAAUUAAAAAAUUACAGAAAUCUGAUUAUUAGCCUAAAGUAUAUACAUAAAAUUUAAUUGGACAAAAAAAAUCUUUCAAAACUAUUCUGCACGAUUCUGAAAAAAUGACAUCGUCUUCCUAUCAGAAUAAUGACUAUGGUGAAGACAAUAAAUCUAUGUACAAUCUACAUAUUAGGUAUUUGAGUAAGAUUUCUGUAAAUAUUUUAGGCUAUCAUUCAGUUUCUGUCCAAUGAUCAAUAUUGCUUCAUCCAUUUUCUUAUCGUAUAUUCAGCUAAUUAUAUUUGCUGAUUCAAACAAAAAAUACUCCAUUUAUAAUUUCUUCCUUUGUUAUAAAAUGUCUAGUCAUAUUGCACAUUGUUCUUUGUUUCUUUACCCUUCUACAAAUGGUGUAUAAUUCCCAUCCCUUUUGUUAUCGAUAUAUAUAUAUAUAUACAUAUAUAUAUAUACACACAUAUAUAUCAGUGUAGUAUAUGAUAUACUAUACAAAUAAUUGCAGUGCCGAAUGGAGCUGUAAUUGUAGAAUUUCAGAUAUUUAUCUAUAUUUAUUUUAUGGGUCCAUUCCUUGUAAAUAUUUAGUUAAAAUAUAUAUACAAAAAUUAAAUUCCAUAUUUUUGAAGCGCAAAAAAUGGAGUGUUCAUAAACGGGUGUGCCUCAUAAGAGAAAGAAUUGAAUAAAAAUCCUCAGUUCCUGUGAAUUGAAAAAUAUUUGCCUCCAUGGAAUAAAUUUUAUUUUAAAAUUGUGAAUAAGUUGAAAUUUUUUGUAAUAUGUUUAUUUGGCAUCAAUAUAUUUUAGAAUGAAAUAUAUUUUCAAUUUGUUAUUUCUAAAUCGUAUAGUUUAAAGAACAUAUAGCUUUAAAAAAUUAUAUGUUCUUUUUAAACUAAUACAAUAAAAAUCUUAAUAAUUUUAUGCAAAAUGUGUAAUUUUGUAUUCUCAAUUUUUAAUUUUGUAAAAUUUUAUUUAAAUAAUUGUUUACAAUGUUAAAUAUGAAAGAAGUAUGAUAUACAUUGUAAAAACAAAUCAGCAAUAGUUCUAUAAUCUCAGUAUUCUUUACUGUUCUAUAUUGUGCAAUGAACAUUUUAGUUUUAGUAAACAGAAAUUUUUAAUUCUCUCUCAUCUAUUCACUUAAUAUAAUUGUACACAAUCCGGAUAAAUACAGUGCAUGGCAUGGCAGAACUAAUUCAUCUUGCAGUGCCUUGAUGUAUCAAUGCCCUGUUCCUUACCCAUUUUAUCACCUAAUUAAAAUGUUCAUAUCUUCUUUAAUCCAUAAUUUUUUUUAAUCUGAAUAAAGUCAUACUCAAAAUAAAUUUUGAUUAUUAUUAACAAUUUAUAGUAUAUUUUUAUCUUUUUUUACUGUAAGAGAGAUAAUCUAAAGCAAAACAAUAAAUUAAUAGUGACUAUUUCUGAAAUAAUUAUUUAUAAAAUAAUUCUAAAUAUUAAUUAAUUGAAUUAAGUUUCAA